rnacentral:rRNA from 1 species
AGUGAGGAAUAUUGGUCAAUGGACGCAAGUCUGAACCAGCCAUGUCGCGUGCAGGAUGACUGCCCUAUGGGUUGUAAACUGCUUUUGUACGGGAAGAAAAAUACUUACGUGUAAGUAUUUGCCGGUACCGUACGAAUAAGCAUCGGCUAACUCCGUGCCAGCAGCCGCGGUAAUACGGAGGAUGCGAGCGUUAUCCGGAUUUAUUGGGUUUAAAGGGUGCGUAGGCGGAAUGGUAAGUCAGUGGUGAAAUCCUGCAGCUCAACUGUAGUUGUGCCAUUGAUACUGUCAUUCUUGAGUACAGAUGAGGUAGGCGGAAUGAGUAGUGUAGCGGUGAAAUGCAUAGAUAUUACUCAGAACACCAAUUGCGAAGGCAGCUUACUAAACUGACACUGACGCUGAAGCACGAAAGCGUGGGUAUCAAACAGGAUUAGAUACCCUGGUAGUCCACGCCGUAAACGAUGAUUACUGGUUGUUUGCGAUACACAGCAAGCGACUGAGCGAAAGCAUUAAGUAAUCCACCUGGGGAGUACGUCGGCAACGAUG